ACACAAAUCUUGUCCGGUCUUUAAGUCUGAAGGCAUCUUUAUUCAACAAAAGCAAGUCAACACAUUGGGACCACCGUCGGUUCCGUUAAUCGAGCCCGUAGUCACGUACAUCAUUACGGGAAAACGUCGGGUUGCAAAAUUAAGGGAAUUGGAAAACUAUUUGGGCAAAUUAAUGGGAAUUUAAAAAAAAAA